UCCAAUUCUAGGUGAUGAUUGUUACAAGGACGCCAAGCUACACUGCGGGCAUGGGAAAGUUAUACAGCAUGACGAAAUAUGAGCAGAAUACAGACUUCAUUCCCCCUCUCGGACUCGUAAGAGUCCGAAACCUGAAAAGUAGAACAAGAUGCAAAUGCAUGCAACAAUGACCACAUGUUGAUCGUUAAGGGAUGUCCCUGUCCAUGGUGUGUCAGAUGUCCUCCGGGGCGGGGUCAUGAA